AGGCUCCUCGGGUCGUGAGGGGCCGAGGGCGCCAAGUCUCGCGACAUCUGAGCGCACCUGCUGGUCUGAGGAGCCGGGCGCAGCGUAGUCUCGCGAGAUCUCCGGCAACGGCCGCCCGUGCGGCCCUGAGGGGGAACAGCGCGAAGGAGGCUCCGGACCUGCCCUGCGCCCUCCGUGUCCCCUCACAGUCCCCCUACCCCUCGUGACCACACCAUGGAGGUGUCUCCCAGCGCCCUCAGUGAGGCUCAGGCCCCCCUCACAUUCCCCGGUACUCAAGUAGCUGUGCCCGCCUUGCAGGUGUAGGAGUUCCUUUAAGGCAGCACAAGGACAGCGGGAAAGGCAGAAAGGCAGUGAAAACCCUCAAAAACCGCUUGCUGAGGCCGGGAUUUGUGUGCACAAACCUCCAGCAAAGACUGUUCGGGGGUGGUCACUGGAGAGGCAGCAGGAGAGAACCAGAGGACAGGGAGAGGUCUGGAGACUGGGAAGGCUCAGGGAGAGGGGGAGUCUCCAGGUCUGGGUCACAGUUCUGCUCCAAUUUGCUCUCAAGCACCAGAAGGAAGAAUUGCAGCUCUCAGCCCAGCCCACACCAACAGGCACAGGCCCCAGGAUGUAAUCGGGAGGGAAGAUAAUUCUAGGAAGAGUUUCACAGCUCAUGAACACCCAGUGCCUGUAAACCUGUGGGGUUUUUGCAUCAGAGGGGGCAAAGUGACCGCGAGUGAGAAGGGGAGGGCCAGGGAGGUGCUGCAGGACUCACCUCCUCCCUGGCAAUGGUCAUGUUGUCCUGCACGUUCCCAAAGACCG